GAUGAACGCUGGCGGCGUGCCUAAUACAUGCAAGUCGAGCGAACGGACGAGAAGCUUGCUUCUCUGAUGUUAGCGGCGGACGGGUGAGUAACACGUGGAUAACCUACCUAUAAGACUGGGAUAACUUCGGGAAACCGGAGCUAAUACCGGAUAAUCUUUUGAACCGCAUGGUUCAAAAGUGAAAGGCGGUCUUGCUGUCACUUAUAGAUGGAUCCGCGCUGCAUUAGCUAGUUGGUAAGGUAACGGCUUACCAAGGCAACGAUGCAUAGCCGACCUGUGAGGGGGAUCGGCCACACUGGAACGGAGACACGGUCCAGACUCCUACGGGAGGCAGCAGUAGGGAAUCGUCCGCAAUGGGCGAAAGCCUGACGGAGCAACGCCGCGUGAGUGAUGAAGGUCUUCGGAUCGUAAAACUCUGUUAUUAGGGAAGAACAUAUGUGUAAGUAACUGUGCACAUCUUGACGGUACCUAAUCAGAAAGCCACGGCUAACUACGUG
rnacentral:rRNA from 1 species